CGUCGGUCAAAACUAAAAAGCUUCUUGUUUCUCUCUUUCAAACUGUGUAGUGUUGCUGAAUCGUGUCUAUGUCAAGCCCCUUCAGUUUCACCACCGAUUCCACGUGACCCUUCAACGUGUGAAGCUCCCUCAACCUAUAAUCAUCCAAUAGAUAGUUCGCCAUAGGAGCUCAUGUCAUUGAGGGUUUGCUCUGUUUGAGGAGGAUUGAGCCCGUGGAGGGUACGUUGAGCUGUGGCCCAUUGAGCUUCUCUUUCGCCUCUCCCGUAAUCCUUCUUCGUUGUGAAAGCGGUCUUUUACAAUUGCACAGAGCAACCAGAAAAAUGUCAAGAUGAAGAAGAACCUAGGUUUUAUCGAUUUUUUGUUUUUGUUAAGAUACGUACCCUGUUCUCAGUAAUAUUGUUCCAUGCCUUCCCACUCAGUGCAUAUCGGAUUAUGAAUUUCAGAAAAUCCAAAGGAACGUAGAAGAUAAUGCUGUAAAUCCAUAUUACUCCUGCCCAUCCCCAUCCGAUUCCUUCUAUAUCUGCAAAUCCCCAGUUUGCAUACACCGCUAUUAUCGUGGCGAUCUAUCAAUUCAUCAAGAAAAUGCCACUGAUUAGUUUGUAAAUUGUUACACAAGGUAGGAUUAGCGAACCUUAAACCCUUUUAAGACAUAAAUUUGUUAAUUGUGUACAGCCUUACCAAUUGUGCUAUGAGAAAGGCUCCCAUCAGCAACAAACCAGGGCGUUCAACGUAAGACCAGCUUCUUGACCGAGUAACAAAGAUGAGAGCCUGACUCACAAUACUCACUUGAAGAAAUCUGAAGCAUGAGCGGCCCAGAAGAAGACGACAGUCAUAACAGCCAAGUAGGAUCCAAGUACUAUUCCAGUGGCGAAAAUCUCAUUGAGUUUCCAUGAAUCUGGAGUAGGUGAUGGCUUGACCCUGUCCUUAGAAAUGGUCAUGAUGGUCCCAUCAUUUAGUAUGGCAAUGAUCAGAACCAUAAAAGGUGAGAAAUCAAAUUUCCAGAUAAGAGCAAGUAAGAGAAAGCCCAGCACAAUUCGGAUUGUUAUAGAAACUGCAUAGAUGGUGUAGUUCUUCAUUCUUUGGAAAAUGGCUCGGCUUGUCAACACUGCGCUAAUAAUCACACUUAAACCAGGUUCUGUCAAAACUAUGUCAGAUGCACCUCGAGCUGCAUCAGUUGCAUCAGCCACUGCAAUCCCAAUGUCUGCCUUUUUCAAUGCAGGAGCAUCAUUCACACCAUCUCCAGUCAUUCCACAUAUGUGUUUCCUAUCUUGUAGUCGCUUCACUAUCUCAUAUUUGUGCUCUGCACUAGACAUUAGUUAGUAAUUGACAGACACUUCUUGACAUUAAAUUAUCAUUACAUGCAUGUCAUUCUUUUUACACAAAAUCUAGAGGCUGAUCUGACCAAUUUAGUCAAAUCUUGUCGCAUAUCAUUAGUUGGUAAUUGUAUGCUAUAUGUCUAUGCAUGUAUAUAGAUAUGUAUUAUGCAUAUUUACCCGGAAAGACGCCAGCAAAGCCAUCAGCCUGCUCAAUGAGCUCGUCAAUUGGCAAUGUAGCAAUAGACUCAUCCUUAUUGUCACCAAGGAGUGAGGAAGAAGGAUACAUGUUGCUUCCCAUGCCAAGCCUACGGCCAGUCUCCUUUCCAAUAGCUAGCUGAUCACCAGUAAUCAUCUUCACAUUCACUCCAAGAUGAAGAGCACGUUUGAUAGUCUCUGCACUGUCAUGCCUUGGAGGAUCAAAGAGUGGUAAGAGACCCACAAACUGCCAUGGCGCUCCUGGACUCUCCUUGGUCUUUUCCGGAACUUCCUAUAAGUUGACAGAUAAAAACUUCAUUAAACAACUCAAUCAUGGAUUCAAUAAAUAGUGAAGAAGAACCAUCGCUUACCUGUCUUGAUACGGCAAGAGAACGCAAACCACGUUCAGCAAACUUAUCAAUAAUGGAGUGAACUUUUUUCUUUACAUCUUCUUUGAGUUGACAAAGUUCUACAAUCUGAAUCAAUGUAUGUUAUGGCCGUACGCUUGUCCACUGGAUUGAAGGGAAGAAAAUGCACCUCGGUGAUGCCAUCUCUGGCCUGCAAAAAGUAAGAGGAAGUUUUUAUUUAUUGCAAUCAGAAGUAUCUUUGAUUCUCUGCAUACGAUCCUUUGGUUCAAGCAUACCUCCUUCGGGUCACCCAACAUUCCAACAAUACAAGCAUCAAUAGCAUCUUGAUUCUCCACCCUUGAGGCUCUAGCUCCAAGCAAUAUUAAAGUGUCCUUGUCUAUAUCUUUUACAAAAACCUGCACACGGGCACGUCACAUUUAUGAAUAACAAGUCAGAAUGGGGUUUCUUUCUUUGUAUCAUGCUUGAUUGAUACCUCGACCAAGCUCUUGUCAACUGUGAGCUUGUUGAGUGUGAGGGUGCCAGUCUUGUCACUGCAUAGAACAUCCAUCCCAGCCAACUCCUCAAUGGCUGUCAUCCUCUUAGUGAUAGCACCUUGUUGUGACAACCUGUGAGAACCAAUAGCCAUCGUUACCGAUAAGACAGUUGGCAUGGCAAUUGGAAUCCCUCCGAUAAGAAGCACCAAGAGAAGUUUCCAAUGGCCGUCAACACCUGGCCACAAAAAAAGUAGCAGCAAUCCCAAUUCAUCAACACUAUUUGCAAGGGCAAUGAUAAUGAUAUGGAGAGCUCAAACACGAGAAAGAAAAUUUAAUACCUUUUGAAAGUGCCCUACUUGGUUAGUGCUAUCAACCAAGUGAGCAGCUUUUCCAAAGAAGGUGUGUACUCCAGUAGCAAUCACAAUAGCCUCAAUCUCUCCUUGCUUCACGGUCGACCCCGAGAAGAUUUCGUCAGAUGGGUUCUUCGUAACCGGCAAAGACUCACCUGUAAGUGCAGACUGGUCAAUCUUCAGAGGGUCUCCUUCUAAGAGACGAGCAUCUGCGGGAAUAAUGUCUCCUAACUUGAUGCUGAUUACAUCUCCAGGUACCAACACAGAUGCAUCCUGUUCAGUCCACCUUCCAUCCCUUAAAACCUGCCCCACAACGGUUUAGAGAACAAUAAGGAUUCAAAAACAUCUCUGCUAUAUAAGGGAAGAGUAAUAGUAGCUUUGUGUUUUUGGGACAGUAAUAGUACCUUAGUUUUCAAUGCAAGGCUUGCCAUAAGUGCUGCAGCAGCAUUACCUGCAUUGUUUUCUUCUAUGAAACUAAUAGUGGAGUUUAUGAUGAGCAAUGCCACAAUUCCUACGAAA